AACGAACGCUGGCGGCAUGCCUAACACAUGCAAGUCGAACGAGACCUUCGGGUCUAGUGGCGCACGGGUGCGUAACGCGUGGGAACCUGCCCUUAGGUUCGGAAUAACUCCCCGAAAGGGGUGCUAAUACCGGAUAAUGUCUUCGGACCAAAGAUUUAUCGCCUUUGGAUGGGCCCGCGUUGGAUUCGCUAGUUGGUAGGGUAAAAGCCUACCACGGGGACGAUCCAUAGCUGGUCUGAGAGGAUGAUCAGCCACACUGGGACUGAGACACGGCCCAGACUCCUACGGGAGGCAGCAGUGGGGAAUAGUGGACAAUGGGCGAAAGCCUGAUCCAGCAAUGCCGGGUGAGUGAUGAAGGCCUUAGGGUUGUAAAGCUCUUUUAACCGGGAUGAUAAUGACAGUACCGGGAGAAUAAGCCCCGGCUAACUCCGUG
rnacentral:rRNA from 1 species